rnacentral:rRNA from 1 species
GACGGAGGGGGCUAGCGUUGUUCGGAAUGACUGGGCGUAAAGGGCGCGUAGGCGGUUUUUUAAGUAAGGCGUGAAAGCCCUGGGCUUAACCCAGGAGGUGCGUUUUAGACUGGAAAACUUGAGUGCGAGAGAGGAAAGUGGAAUUCCUAGUGUAGAGGUGAAAUUCGUAGAUAUUAGGAAGAACACCCGUGGCGAAGGCGGCUUUCUGGCUCGCAACUGACGCUGAGGCGCGAAAGCGUGGGGAGCAAACAGG